rnacentral:rRNA from 1 species
GAUGAACGCUGGCGGCGUGCCUAACACAUGCAAGUCGAACGGAGUCCAGCCUUUAAGACCUUCGGGUCAAAGAGGGGAAGACUGAGUGGCGGACGGGUGAGUAACACGUGGGCAACCUGGCUCAUAGAGGGGGAUAACAGAGAGAAAUUUCUGCUAAUACCGCAUAAGCACACACUGCCGCAUGGCAGAGGGUGAAAAGAGAAUCGCUAUGAGAUGGACCCGCGUCUGAUUAGCCAGUUGGCAGGGUAAGAGCCUACCAAAGCGACGAUCAGUAGCCGAUCUGAGAGGAUGAACGGCCACAUUGGGACUGAGACACGGCCCAAACUCCUACGGGAGGCAGCAGCGGGGGAUAUUGCACAAUGGGGGGAACCCUGAUGCAGCGACGCCGCGUGAGUGAAGAAGUAUUUCGGUAUGUAAAGCUCUAUCAGCAGGGAAGAUAAUGACAGUACCUGAAUAAGAAGCCCCGGCUAACUACGUG